UGGGGAAUCUUGCGCAAUGGGCGAAAGCCUGAUCCAGCCAUGCCGCGUGAGUGAAGAAGGCCUUCGGGUUGUAAAGCUCUUUUAGUCGGAAAGAAAGAGUUGCAAUGAAUAAUUGUGAUUUAUGACGGUACCGACAGAAAAAGCACCGGCUAACUACGUGCCAGCAGCCGCGGUAAUACGUAGGGUGCGAGCGUUAAUCGGAAUUACUGGGCGUAAAGGGUGCGCAGGCGGUCUUGCAAGUCAGAUGUGAAAGCCCCGGGCUUAACCUGGGAAUUGCGUUUGAAACUACAAGGCUAGAGUGCAGCAGAGGGGAGUGGAAUUCCAUGUGUAGCAGUGAAAUGCGUAGAGAUGUGGAAGAACACCGAUGGCGAAGGCAGCUCCCUGGGUUGACACUGACGCUCAUGCACGAAAGCGUGGGGAGCAAACA
rnacentral:rRNA from 1 species